GGAGGAGAGAGAUCGGUGAUGUGGUGUGUGUAAGGGGAGGAGAAGGAGGGGGUUGGCUUUAGUGUGAUUUGAAUGGGCGUGAGAGAGAGCGUGAGGGACUGAGCAAAUCAACCUGCCUCUUUUGACUGAACAACGGGAUGGAAGAGCUGCGCUCCUAGCCACACUGAUCAGAGAGGAGUUUUAUUUUUGGAGAGGGGAAGAAGGGAGCAGACAAGGGGAACCGAAGAGGGAGAAGAAGGAGAAAAGGCAUCAGAGUGGGGAUAGAUAGCAGAAAAAUGCUGUCAUGGGGAGAGGGGGGAGGGAGCUGACAGAAAGGAACAGAAUGAGACAAGGCAGGGUGGAGCGGAGCUGAGAUGUGGAGGUGUCCAGUGGAAGAGACCAAAGAGAAGCAAGCAGGUGCUGAGGGGUGGGAGCUGAUGGAUGACAGAUCAGAGAGGCCAACACACACGCGAAUCCUCCCCAACCCAGAGGACAGAGAGCUGGACCAAACCAGCUGGACCAAACCACAACUGGACCAAACCACGACUGGACCACACCACGACUGGACCACACCACGACUGGACCACACCACGACUGGACCACACCACAACUGGACCACACCACAACUGGACCACACCACGACUGGACCACGCCACGACUGGACCACGCCACAACUGGACCACACCACAACUGGACCACACCACAACUGGACCACACCACGACUGGACCACACCACAACUGGACCAAACCACACCUGAGGCAUAGCAGUAUAGUAGUCAUCUGCAAAGCCACAGGUGGAGGAUGUCCUAAAGGAACUUGGAAUGGGUGUACGAUUUCCAGACCUAAAACAUAUCAUUGUAUCUGAUACAAUAGUCAUCUAAUAGUCCUUUGCAUUUUGUUAUUGAAUGCAAAGGACUAGUACUUUUACUCAUCAGACACAGUGAGGAGAGAUACUUG
rnacentral:lncRNA from 1 species